AGAGUUUGAUCAUGGCUCAGGAUGAACGCUAGCGGCAGGCCUAACACAUGCAAGUCGAGGGGUAGAGGGUGCUUGCAUCCUUGAGACCGGCGCACGGGUGCGUAACGCGUAUGCAACCUGCCUUCCACAGGGGAAUAGCCCAGAGAAAUUUGGAUUAAUGCCCCAUGGCACAGCGAGACGGCAUCGUCUUGCUGUUAAAGUAACAACGGUGGAAGAUGGGCAUGCGUCCCAUUAGCUAGUUGGUAAGGUAACGGCUUACCAAGGCUAUGAUGGGUAGGGGUCCUGAGAGGGAGAUCCCCCACACUGGUACUGAGACACGGACCAGACUCCUACGGGAGGCAGCAGUGAGGAAUAUUGGUCAAUGGUCGCAAGACUGAACCAGCCAUGCCGCGUGCAGGAUGACGGUCCUAUGGAUUGUAAACUGCUUUUGUACGGGAAGAAACACUCCUACGUGUAGGGGCUUGACGGUACCGUAAGAAUAAGGAUCGGCUAACACCGUGCCAGCAGCCGCGGUAAUACGGAGGAUCCGAGCGUUAUCCGGAAUCAUUGGGUUUAAAGGGUCCGUAGGCGGCCCUGUAAGUCAGCGGUGAAAUCUCCCGGCUCAACCGGGGAACUGCCGUUGAUACUGCAGGGCUUGAAUUGCCGGGAAGUAACUAGAAUAUGUAGUGUAGCGGUGAAAUGCUUAGAUAUUACAUGGAAUACCGAUUGCGAAGGCAGGUUACUACCGGCGUAUUGACGCUGAUGGACGAAAGCGUGGGGAGCGAACAGGAUUAGAUACCCUGGUAGUCCACGCCGUAAACGAUGGAUACUAGCUGUCCGGCGCAAGCUGGGUGGCUAAGCGAAAGUGAUAAGUAUCCCACCUGGGGAGUACGAACGCAAGUUUGAAACUCAAAGGAAUUGACGG
rnacentral:rRNA from 1 species